UUGGAUUUGGCUAUGGUGGGUCUUGUUUCUCUCUAAUCUUUUCAAGUGCUUUCUUGCAAGUAUUGGUGAAUCUUUUUUUUCAGUUGUAGUUACAAGAAACUUGGAAAAUUAAUGGUAUCAUAGUUCUUGAUGAUACUUCUGUUGUAUGCCUAUGAUUUGAUUAAAAGAGAGGAAAAGAAAGAGGAGUUUGAGCAAUUGUAUUGUUCAUCUUGCUAGAAUAUUCAUUUGUUACUGUUUAGUAGAGGGGAUUCUAAUGGGAGCUUGUGUUGGAAGAAGAAUACAUUGGAUUCUAUGUAAGGGAUUGGCAGAUUGGCAGGGACGUUGAACUCGCCACAACAAGUAGAGUAUUGUGUUCAACGGCGAUAAUGAACCUGAACACCGACAUUACCUAAAACGUAAACCAGUUCGACCACAUAGUUCAAGUCAUUUCACUCUUUGGUUUGAUGGUACUGAGAGAAUUGCUUUACACAGUUAAAUAAAACCAUUGGUUUCUUGCCUUGAACUCUGCAUCUUCAGAUUUUAUAAUAUUGACUGUGUUAUUUAUUCAUUAGUAGAAAUCAUCUGAGCAAGAUUCUUCAAUUUGUCCAAUAA